rnacentral:rRNA from 1 species
GAUGAACGCUGGCGGCGUGCCUAAUACAUGCCAGUCGAGCGAACGGACGAGAAGCUUGCUUUUCUGAUGUUAGCGGCGGACGGGUGAGUAACACGUGGAUAACCUACCUAUAAGACUGGGAUAACUUCGGGAAACCGGAGCUAAUACCGGAUAAUAUUUUGAACCGCAUGGUUCAAAAGUGAAAGACGGUCUUGCUGUCACUUAUAGAUGGAUCCGCGCUGCAUUAGCUAGUUGGUAAGGUAACGGCUUACCAAGGCAACGAUGCAUAGCCGACCUGAGAGGGUGAUCGGCCACACUGGAACUGAGACACGGUCCAGACUCCUACGGGAGGCAGCAGUAGGGAAUCUUCCGCAAUGGGCGAAAGCCUGACGGAGCAACGCCGCGUGAGUGAUGAAGGUCAUCGGAUCGUAAAACUCUGUUAUUAGGGAAGAACAUAUGUGUAAGUAACUGUGCACAUCUUGACGGUACCUAAUCAGAAAGCCACGGCUAACUACGUG